CAAAUUGAUACAGAUCACCGACGCCAGCAUGGAACAAUCUCUCAUUCCAUCUUAUAGAGAAUCUUGGAUAACUGAUUUGUGGUUUCAUGUUUUCUAAAUUGGCAUGACUGACUAUAUGAGAAGUUAUGUCCUUCCAAGAAAAGGACUUACAGUCAACAAGAUUCCUUGUUUGCUAACCCGUUAUUGGCUGCUACCCUUGAAUCUCCCUAUUUGUCAACAACAAAAAAAGAGUUUGAAUAUUGUGAUCAUGCUAUCAUCAUUAUGUUGCCUAUAAGAUCAAAUGUGGGGCAUCUGGUUAUCCCUCCGAAAUAAGGCAAUGACCAUACGUUCAACGCGGAUCAUUCGCUUUGUCAUCGAACUUGACUCAUUCCAUCUUCUGGAUUGCUUAGGAAAGCUGAUUGGUGUUACCUGUGUAACUUCAUUGUCAUGUCACUGAAUUUAAAUUUUGUUUACAUUUUGUUUCUUGAUUUAGCCAUUUAGGUAAUGACCGAGAAGAUGCGGCCUACAUGAACAUCAUUUAGGCGGCCAGCAUCAUUCGACUACCCAACCGGCUUCUACUACCCUGCUCUCAACACAGAACGGAGUUGCACCCUUUAGAUUUUUGGCUGUUCGCGAUGUGUGAUGGACUGAUGGCGUUUCCUUGGACGAGAUGAUGAUUUUGGCUAGAAAAAUAUUGCGAACCUUCAGGUUCCUAAAUUUGCAUGACAGACUUUAUGAAAAGUAAUGUUCUUUCAAGAAAGUCAACAAGGUCCCUUGUUUGCUAACCCAAUGGCUGCUACCCUUGAAUCUCCCUAUUAAGCUCCUUACACAGUCCCUCUUGAUUUGAGGGUAAUCCUUCGCUACUGAUCAUGGACUCCAUUAGUGAAACUGAAAACCGGCGAGAGAAUACUGUAAUCAAAGACUGAUAAAUUGUGUAGUUAGACUAAAUUACAAAC